rnacentral:rRNA from 1 species
GACGAACGCUGGCGGCGUGCUUAACACAUGCAAGUCGUACGGUAAGGCCCUUUCGGGGGUACCCGGGUGGCGCACGGGUGAGUAACACGUGAGUAACCUGCCCACAACUUUGGGAUAACGCUAGGAAACUGGUGCUAAUACUGGAUAUGUGCUCCUGCUGCAUGGUGGGGGUUGGAAAGCUCCGGCGGUUGUGGAUGGACUCGCGGCCUAUCAGCUUGUUGGUGGGGUAGUGGCCUACCAAGGCGGCGACGGGUAGCCGGCCUGAGAGGGUGACCGGCCACAUUGGGACUGAGAUACGGCCCAGACUCCUACGGGAGGCAGCAGUGGGGAAUAUUGCACAAUGGGCGCAAGCCUGAUGCAGCAACGCCGCGUGCGGGAUGACGGCCUUCGGGUUGUAAACCGCUUUCAGCAGGGACGAAGCUUUUUGUGACGGUACCUGCAGAAGAAGCACCGGCUAACUACG